GAAUGCCAGUUAGCCUUUGUAGUUCUGAGCCUAGAGAGGGGGUGACAGACACUGGGCUUCAGGUCACAAGCCUGGCUUGGAUGGUUUUUGGAGACAUUUCCUCUGGGUUCCCAAACUCUCAAAAUGUGUUCAUCACAACAUGAGCCUCCCAUCACAGCCUAAGCACGUGUCUUGGAGGCUGAUACCAGCAGAGGUUUUCGCAGUGGUACCUGUUGGCUGACUGAUUAGGUCAGCUCCCUUUCUUGUACCAUAGAAGCAUCAACAGAGCGGAAUACAACAUUUUUGCAUAUUUUUCUUCACCCUUCCCACGUGCUUGCUUCUCCCAGACCCCUAGGGUUAAUCUCCAGGACAACCUUGCUUUGUGAGCCUACUUGAAGAUUUGGACCCCAGAGACCCAGACAAAGGCUCAAGGAGAUGGACUUUCUCAGAGAAAACACCUAGGAGAGCCAGUAAAGAUUAAAUGUGCUUUCUCAAAGGCAGCCACUUCAUGCUGCUAUGUGGAAUGGACUAUUAUUAAUAUUUUUGAGAGAGAGAGAGAGGGAACGAACUAGGUAUGAUGACGACGACCAGCUUUUCUGAGAGGAAAAGGAAAGGGGAAGGGACAAAAAACGGAGAAACCUUGAGCUGAACGGAUUGUGCAUAAGAAGAAAACCUACAGAGUAACCAAAGCUCUGCUUCAGGUCAUUUAUGCACUAGCAUCAGGUCCCUUUGGGUGGCUCAACAGAAGGCCAGAGAUCUGCUGAUGGCUGCACCAGAAGAGCCCCCUGCUGCCAGCGGCCCCCUGAGGAUCUACCUAUUAAGAAAAAACCUGGGAAGAACCACACACUGGUCCUCAUAGCUCCCCUUCUCAGGACUAUCUUCCCAAUGAAGGACACAGACUUCAGAGACUGCAAUAUUGAUGGACCCUCAUGCCAACCGCCAUGUUGAAACAAAGAAAGUGACCAUCUGAAGACAUCUUUCCUGUCUAGCGGCACACCCACUAGUGCAGUUUCAGCCAACAAAACUCUUAGAAUAAGAGGCAAUCUUUGCAAGAAACAGAAAAGCCCAAACAUGACAUCUAACGCUCUCAUGGGUCAAGGAUGUUCACAUCCUCAUGUGUCUCCCUCUGUUUGUAUUUAAAUUCAUGUGACAUUCAUUUUUUUUCCUAGUAUGGAUGUGCUUAUUACCCCUGUAGCUUUAAAUAUAAUUCACACAAAUGUAUUAAUAUGUUAAGACACAGGAUUAAUGCAAUAAGAAGAAUGGCUUUUAGCAAUACACAGAAUUUGUUCUUUGAAGUGACCUAGAGAUUGAGAUGGAACAAAGUGGUCACAGAUGAUUCACAGGAUCAAGAAAUGGCAGAAAAGAAAAAAAGUUCAUUAUUCCACCUGGCAUCAAGCAAUCAUCACCCUUUGGUUUUGUCAGGCAAGCUGACUUCUGACAUAUGGUUGGUUGUUGCCUCUAAAGAGCUUAAAUCUAGUAGGACAAAGGCACUUCAGCUUUUGAAAAGGUCAUAGUGCAGGCCAGUAGAUGAUAGUAGCAAAAACAAAACAAAAAAAAAAAAGAGCUCAAAAAUGGUUUUCUUCAUAUGGGCAAAACUGGCUUUCUUAAU